rnacentral:rRNA from 1 species
GACGAACGCUGGCGGCGUGCUUAACACAUGCAAGUCGAACGGUAAGGCCCUUCGGGGUACACGAGUGGCGAACGGGUGAGUAACACGUGGGUGAUCUGCCCUGCACCUCGGGAUAAGCCUGGGAAACUGGGUCUAAUACCGGAUAGGACUCCUGGCUUCAUGGUUGGGGGUGGAAAGCUUUUGCGGUGUGGGAUGGGACCGGGGCCUAUAAGCUUGUUGGUGGGGUAAUGGCCUACCAAGGCGACGACGGGUAGCCGGCCUGAGAGGGUGAUCGGUCACACGAGGACUGAUGUACGGCCCAGAGUCCUACGGGAGGAAGCAGUGGGGUAGAUUGGUCAAUUGGCGCAAGCCUGGUGCGGCGACGCCGCGUGAGGGAUGCCGGCCUUCGUGUUGUAAACCUCUUUCAGCUAUGACGAAGCGCAAUUGACGGUAGUAGCAGAAGAAGGACCGGCCAACUACGUGCCAGCCGCCGCCGUAAUAC